GACGAACGCUGGCGGCGUGCUUAACACAUGCAAGUCGUACGGUAAGGCCCUUUCUGGGGUACACGAGUGGCGAACGGGUGAGUAACACGUGAGUAACCUGCCCACAACUGAGGGAUAACGCUCGGAAACUAGCGCUAAUACUGGAUAGGUGCCCCUGCUGCAUGGUGGGGGGUGGUAAGCUCCGGGGGUUGGGGGGGGACUCGCGGCCUAUCUGGUUGUUUGUGGGGUAGGGGCCUACCUAGGCAGUGAAGGGUAGCCGGCCUGAGAGGGGGACCGGCCCAAUUGGGGCUGGGAUACGGCCCAGACUCCUACCGGAGGCAGGAGGUGGGGAUAUUGCACCAUGGGGGGAAGCCCGAAGCCGGCACGCCGGGGUGGGGAUGACGGCCUUCGGGUUGUAAACCGCCUUCAGCAGGGACGGAGCUUUUUGUGACGGUAACUGCAGAAGAAGCACCGGCUAACUACGUG
rnacentral:rRNA from 1 species